rnacentral:rRNA from 1 species
UAGCGCUAACGACGUGCUUUUGAAUUUAAGGAUAGUAUGGAAGGAUACAUAACUUUCAUUCUAUCUUUUCCUCAUAUAUUUACAAUGAAAAUAACCUAUAAGUAAGAAGGCUUAUAUAACCAAGAAGGACGGCAAGACCUUAUAAAACUUCACUUUAGUUAAACUGGGGUGGUUAAAAACAAAAUCUUAUCAUCCGUACCCAAAUAAUGACCUGAAGAUAUCAACAUAAAAAACAAGUUACCUUAGGGAUAACAGAGUAAUUCCUUUUCAGACAUAAUGCAAAAUAGAGUUUUCUACCUCUAUGUUGUGUGAAUUAAUAUGACUUCAUAAAAAGCAUUAGGUAAGUAGGUCUGUUCGUCCUUUGAAAUGUUACG